AAGGCAUGUUGAGGACACUUCCUAAUGAGUUCUUUAAAUCUUUCCCAUGACUCAUAAAUAAAUUCAUCAUCUAACUAGGUAAAUAAGAUGAUAUCAUUUCUUACCAA